AUUGAACGCUGGCGGCAGGCCUAACACAUGCAAGUCGAGCGGAUGAAGGGAGCUUGCUCCUGGAUUCAGCGGCGGACGGGUGAGUAAUGCCUAGGAAUCUGCCUGGUAGUGGGGGAUAACGUCCGGAAACGGGCGCUAAUACCGCAUACGUCCUGAGGGAGAAAGUGGGGGAUCUUCGGACCUCACGCUAUCAGAUGAGCCUAGGUCGGAUUAGCUAGUUGGUGGGGUAAAGGCCUACCAAGGCGACGAUCCGUAACUGGUCUGAGAGGAUGAUCAGUCACACUGGAGCGGGGACACGGUCCAGACUCCUACGGGAGGCAGCAGUGGGGAAUAUUGGACAAUGGGCGAAAGCCUGAUCCAGCCAUGCCGCGUGUGUGAAGAAGGUCUUCGGAUUGUAAAGCACUUUAAGUUGGGAGGAAGGGCAGUAAGUUAAUACCUUGCUGUUUUGACGUUACCAACAGAAUAAGCACCGGCUAACUUCGUG
rnacentral:rRNA from 1 species